rnacentral:lncRNA from 1 species
GGAAAACAGCAUCCAAGAUGGAGCUGUACAGAGGGAAGGGAGCAGCUGACACCUCCACACCGUCUCCCAUUAAAUACCAGCUCAUUUAAACAUAUCCCGUGGUGCCCUCCACAUCUGGGUUGAACUACAGCUGCCUGGUGUCGGCUUGCUGAAAGGACUGGACUGUAGCUGUUGGUUCGCGCCUGGUGUCUGCCUGCCUAGAGGACUGGUCUGCAGCUGCUGAAUCAUAUUUGAUGUUUGCUAUGGGACUGAGCUGCUGCCCAAGAAGAUCAAGCUGAACAGAAACUGGGAACAGAAGACCGGAGCUUGCAAGUUGGCGAUGAGCACAGCCCAGCAUCUUACCAGCCGGUGGUAUCUCUACACCAUUGCCCUUUGGCCACAAAAAGAAAACCUGAGUCUGUGACUACUUGUCUUUUAGAUGCUUUGAGGCAGAGUGACCAUGGUGACCUUCAGUGGCCGUGGGUCCUCUUCUAGGCACCGUUUGUCGUGCCGGGUUCCCAAGCAUGGAAACCUACUGGAGACCUUAGUCUGGAUGCACAGCGGAUGUGGGGGACACAUUAGCUCUCCCAUUUCCAUUCUCAUCAUUAAUGUUUAAUUGCACAACACCAGAGGCAGGCUAUGUACCUAGCACCGAAACCUUGUCACCUCUAUUAAUUAAAACAGGCUUAUGGAAUAUGAAA